rnacentral:rRNA from 1 species
AGUGAACGCUGGCGGUAGGCCUAACACAUGCAAGUCGAACGGCAGCACAGUAAGAGCUUGCUCUUACGGGUGGCGAGUGGCGGACGGGUGAGGAAUACAUCGGAAUCUACUUUUUCGUGGGGGAUAACGUAGGGAAACUUACGCUAAUACCGCAUACGACCUACGGGUGAAAGCAGGGGAUCUUCGGACCUUGCGCGAUUGAAUGAGCCGAUGUCGGAUUAGCUAGUUGGCGGGGUAAAGGCCCACCAAGGCAACGAUCCGUAGCUGGUCUGAGGGGAUGAUCAGCCACACUGGAACUGAGACACGGUCCAGACUCCUACGGGAGGCAGCAGUGGGGAAUAUUGGACAAUGGGCGCAAGCCUGAUCCAGCCAUACCGCGUGGGUGAAGAAGGCCUUCGGGUUGUAAAGCCCUUUUGUUGGGAAAGAAAAGCAGCAGGUUAAUACCCCGCUGUUCUGACGGUACCCAAAGAAUAAGCACCGGCUAACUUCGUG